GGGGGGGGGGGGGGGGGGGCCGGGGGGAGGCAGGGCGGGCGAGCAGACGAGGAGCUUGCGCCGCUGACGUUAGCGGCGGACGGGUGAGGAACACGUGGAUAACCUACCUAUAAGACUGGGAUAACUUCGGGAAACCGGAGCUAAUACCGGAUAAUAUAUUGACCCGCAUGGUUCCAUAGUGAAAGACGGUUUUGCUGUCACUUAUAGAUGGAUCCGCGCCGCAUUAGCUAGUUGGUAAGGUAACGGCUUACCAAGGCGACGAUGCGUAGCCGACCUGAGAGGGUGAUCGGCCACACUGGAACUGAGACACGGUCCAGACUCCUACGGGAGGCAGCAGUAGGGAAUCUUCCGCAAUGGGCGAAAGCCUGACGGAGCAACGCCGCGUGAGUGAUGAAGGUCUUCGGAUCGUAAAACUCUGUUAUUAGGGAAGAACAAAUGUGUAAGUAACUAUGCACGUCUUGACGGUACCUAAUCAGAAAGCCACGGCUAACUACGUG
rnacentral:rRNA from 1 species